GAUUUAGAGAAAUUUGGACUAAAGCAUUGGAAUUGAUGAGUGAGAGAGAAAGGGAUACUUUGGAGGGUUUGGGAGAGAUAAUGGUGCCAAAGCAGGUGCAUUACUCUGUUACUGUAGGGGAACUGUGAGCCCCUGCAUGUGGACACAGAAUCUGUGAGAGGCGUGCUGUCGUUUCACUCUUCACGGCCAGUCUUUCCUCAACAAAGGUGGUCAGAGGCAGAGCAGAGGAGGGGGGCUUCAGAACAGAGGUGCCCCCUGUCUUCAGACACCUGCUGCUGGCUCAGGACUGGUAAAGCUGCUUCUGUAAUUGAGGUGGAUGAGGACAGUGGUCAGCCCUGAGAAAAGAACUGAGAGAUAACACCAAGUUCAUCCCCCUGUUCUCCUCUUUGAGGAAUGGGCACCACAGAAGCCACUCUACGAAUGGAGAACAUGGAAGUGAGAGAUGAGUGGCAGGAUGAAGAUUUCCCAAGGUAGGCCCUCUUACCCACGGAUUCAUUUCAUCAUCAAUCAUCCGCUCACACUUUAGAUGUGACAUCAAUUUCAUUAGUGGUUGUACAGUAUAUGUUAAAUAUCACAUUAUGACAUGUUUCUCAGCUAAACAUGUCAUUGCAUGCCAUUCUUAAAAGAAAUGACUAAUCAUGUUGCUUCACGUG
rnacentral:lncRNA from 1 species